rnacentral:rRNA from 1 species
AACGAACGCUGGCGGCAUGCCUAACACAUGCAAGUCGAACGAGACCUUCGGGUCUAGUGGCGCACGGGUGCGUAACGCGUGGGAAUCUGCCCUUCGGUUGGGAAUAACUGAGAGAAAUUUCAGCUAAUACCUUAUAAUGUCUUCGGACCAAAGAUUUAUCGCCGAGGGAUGAGCCCGCGUAGGAUUAGGUAGUUGGUGGGUAAUGGCCUACCAAGCCGACGAUCCUUAGCUGGUCUGAGAGGAUGAUCAGCCACACUGGGACUGAGACACGGCCCAGACUCCUACGGGAGGCAGCAGUGGGGAAUGUUGGACAAUGGGCGAAAGCCUGAUCCAGCAAUGCCGCGUGAGUGAUGAAGGCCUUAGGGUUGUAAAGCUCUUUUACCCGGGAUGAUAAUGACAGUACCGGGAGAAUAAGCUCCGGCUAACUCCGUGCCAGCAGCCGCCGUAA